rnacentral:rRNA from 1 species
UGGGGAAUAUUGCACAAUGGGCGCAAGCCUGAUGCAGCCAUGCCGCGUGUAUGAAGAAGGCCUUCGGGUUGUAAAGUACUUUCAGCGAGGAGGAAGGCGUUGUGGUUAAUAACCGCAACGAUUGACGUUACUCGCAGAAGAAGCACCGGCUAACUCCGUGCCAGCAGCCGCGGUAAUACGGAGGGGGCAAGCGUUAAUCGGAAUUACUGGGCGUAAAGCGCACGCAGGCGGUCUGUCAUGUCGGAUGUGAAAUCCCCGGGCUCAACCUGGGAACUGCAUCCGAAACUGGCAGGCUAGAGUCUUGUAGAGGGGGGUAGAAUUCCAGGUGUAGCGGUGAAAUGCGUAGAGAUCUGGAGGAAUACCGGUGGCGAAGGCGGCCCCCUGGACAAAGACUGACGCUCAGGUGCGAAAGCGUGGGGAGCAAACA